rnacentral:rRNA from 1 species
AUUGAACGCUGGCGGCAGGCCUAACACAUGCAAGUCGAACGAGUGGCGGACGGGUGAGUAAUGUAUGGGAAACUGCCUGAUGGAGGGGGAUAACUACUGGAAACGGUAGCUAAUACCGCAUACCCUCAGAUGUGCCAAGAUGGGAUUAGCUAGUUGGGGGGGUAACGGCUCACAGAGGCGACGGUCACCAGCUGGUCUGAGAGGAUGACCCGCCACACUGGAACUGCGACACGGUCCAUAGUCCUACGUGAGUCAGCAGUGGGGAAUAUUGCACAAUGGGCGCACGCCUGAUGCCGCCAUGCCGCGUGUAUGAAGAAGGCCUUCGGGUUGUAAAAUACUUUCAGCGGGGAGGCGUUACCCGCAGAAGAAGCACCGGCUAACUCCGUGCCAGCAGCCGCGGUAAUAC